rnacentral:rRNA from 1 species
UACGUAGGGUGCAAGCGUUAAUCGGAAUUACUGGGCGUAAAGCGCGCGUAGGCGGCUUUGUAUGUCGAUUGUGAAAGCCCCGGGCUCAACCUGGGAACUGCAGUCGAAACUGCAAAGCUUGAAUGUUGGAGAGGUUGGGGAAUACCGUAGUGGAGAAGUGAAAUUCGUAGAGAUUAGGUGGAACACCAGAGGCGAAGGCGCCUGACUGGCCAAACAUUGACGCUGAGGCGCGAAAGCGUGGGUAGCAAACAGG